UGCGAGUCGAACGGUAACAGGAAGCAGCUUGCUGCUUCGCUGACGAGUGGCGGACGGGUGAGUAAUGUCUGGGAAACUGCCUGAUGGAGGGGGAUAACUACUGGAAACGGUAGCUAAUACCGCAUAAUGUCGCAAGACCAAAGAGGGGGACCUUCGGGCCUCUUGCCAUCGGAUGUGCCCAGAUGGGAUUAGCUAGUAGGUGGGGUAACGGCUCACCUAGGCGACGAUCCCUAGCUGGUCUGAGAGGAUGACCAGCCACACUGGAACUGAGACACGGUCCAGACUCCUACGGGAGGCAGCAGUGGGGAAUAUUGCACAAUGGGCGCAAGCCUGAUGCAGCCAUGCCGCGUGUAUGAAGAAGGCCUUCGGGUUGUAAAGUACUUUCAGCGGGGAGGAAGGCGAUAAGGUUAAUAACCUUGUCGAUUGACGUUACCCGCAGAAGAAGCACCGGCUAACUCCGUGCCAGCAGCCGCGGUAAUACGGAGGGUGCAAGCGUUAAUCGGAAUUACUGGGCGUAAAGCGCACGCAGGCGGUCUGUCAAGUCGGAUGUGAAAUCCCCGGGCUCAACCUGGGAACUGCAUUCGAAACUGGCAGGCUAGAGUCUUGUAGAGGGGGGUAGAAUUCCAGGUGUAGCGGUGAAAUGCGUAGAGAUCUGGAGGAAUACCGGUGGCGAAGGC
rnacentral:rRNA from 1 species